GUGCAGCAGGCGAGAAAACUUUACAAUGUGCGAAAGCACGAUAAGGGAACUCUGAGUGCCUCCUAAGGAGGCUGUUCUGAUGUCUAAAAAGCAACAGAAGUAAGGGCUGGGUAAGACCGGUGCCAGCCGCCGCGGUAACACCGGCAGCCCAAGUGGUAGCCACGUUUAUUGGGUCUAAAGCGUUCGUAGCCGGCCAGGUAAGUUCCUUGGUAAAUUUAGCCGCUUAACGGUUAAGCUUUCAGGGAAUACUGCUUGGCUUGGGACUGGGGAGAGGUCAGAGGUACUCCGGGGGUAGGGGUGAAAUCUAUUAAUCCCUGGGGGACCACCGGUAGCGAAGGCGUCUGGCCAGACCAGGUCCGACGGUGAGGGACGAAGGCUAGGGGCGCGAACCGGAUUAGAUACCCCUGUAGU
rnacentral:rRNA from 1 species